rnacentral:rRNA from 1 species
UACGGAAGGUCCGGGCGUUAUCCGGAUUUAUUGGGUUUAAAGGGAGCGUAGGCCGGAGAUUAAGCGUGUUGUGAAAUGUAGAUGCUCAACAUCUGAACUGCAGCGCGAACUGGUUUCCUUGAGUGCGCACAAAGUGGGCGGAAUUCGUGGUGUAGCGGUGAAAUGCUUAGAUAUCACGAAGAACUCCGAUUGCGAAGGCAGCUCACUGGAGCGCAACUGACGCUGAAGCUCGAAAGUGCGGGUAUCGAACAGG